rnacentral:rRNA from 1 species
CGUUCCCGGGCCUUGUACACACCGCCCGUCACAUCAUGGGAGUUGGUUUUACCCGAAGUUACUGACCCGACCGCAAGGAGGGAGGUACCCAAGGUAAGGCCGAUGACUGGGAUG